rnacentral:rRNA from 1 species
AGAGUUUGAUCAUGGCUCAGAACGAACGCUGGCGGCAGGCUUAACACAUGCAAGUCGAGCGCCCAGCAAUGGGAGCGGCGCACGGGUGAGUAACACGUGGGAACGUGCCCUAUGGUUCGGAAUAACGCAGGGAAACUUGCGCUAAUACCGGAUAAGCCCUAACGGGGAAAGAUUUAUCGCCAUUGGAGCGGCCCGCGUUGGAUUAGCUAGUUGGUGGGGUAAAAGCCUACCAAGGCAACGAUCCAUAGCUGGUUUGAGAGAACGACCAGCCACACUGGGACUGAGACACGGCCCAGACUCCUACGGGAGGCAGCAGUGGGGAAUCUUGGACAAUGGGGGAAACCCUGAUCCAGCCAUGCCGCGUGAGUGAUGAAGGCCCUAGGGUUGUAAAACUCUUUCGGCGGGGACGAUAAUGACGGUACCCGCAGAAGAAGCUCCGGCUAACUUCGUGCCAGCAGCCGCGGUAAUACGAAGGGGGCUAGCGUUGUUCGGAAUUACUGGGCGUAAAGCGCGCGCAGGCGGUCCUUUAAGUCAGGGGUGAAAGCCCAGAGCUCAACUCUGGAACGGCCUUUGAAACUAGAGGACUUGGGUACGGGAGAGGUGAGUGGAAUUCCGAGUGUAGAGGUGAAAUUCGUAGAUAUUCGGAAGAACACCAGUGGCGAAGGCGGCUCACUGGCCCGUUACCGACGCUCAGGCGCGACAGCGUGGGGAGCAAACAGGAUUAGAUACCCUAGUAGUCC